rnacentral:tRNA from 1 species
GGUCCGGUAGUUCAGUUGGUUAGAACGCUUGCCUGUCACGCAAGAGGUCGAGGGUUCGAGUCCCUUCCGGAUCGCCA